GCAAAAUACGCUUCCACCUCCCUCACCUCCCCACGAGGCCACGGCAGAAUGGCUGCUGCUUCUCCCCGCAACGUGUCUCUCCGGCUCCCCUCGCCAGAUCCCCCACCCUCGGCUCUUCCUCCCGGUGAUGGAGAGGCGCACCUCCAGCUCCCGGGAAGCACGACCAGCACCGUUAGCUUCUCCCCUCUCCCGCCGCUUCCCCUCCCCGCCUCCCCCAUCCCCUUUCUGUUGAUUGCUACCGAUAGGAAGCACAUCCGCCACAUCGGGUCCAAUGGAUAACGCAUUAUUGGUACUUUGAUCUGCAAAUUUAUUUGUUUCAACCUUACCGAUGCAAGUUUUCUGUCUGGCGUACAAGUAUUGAGAGAUUGGUUGUUACAUGCUUGGCGAAAUUUUAGAUGAAACAUAUAUCGGCCUUCAUCAGAGAUAAGUAUUCAUGCUCCUUUCUAUUUUUAGAAUCUUUUAGACCAAGCUGCCGGUAUUACAUACUCACCCAUCCCAUUUUAAGUGCAACUAUAAAUUUUCGUACUUAACUUUGAUCAUCCGUCUUAUUUGAAAUUUUUUUUAUAAUUAGUAUUUUUUAUUGUUAUGAGAUAAUAAAACAUAAAUAUUACUUUACUCGUGACUUAUGUUUUUAAAUUUUUUCAAAAAAUAUUCAAAUAAGAUGGACGAUGAAAGUUGGGCGUAAAAAACUAUAGUUGUACUUGAAAUGGGACGGAGGGAGUAGUGAAAAAUCAGUUUUCUGUAAAUUGGUUACUUCCAGUGGCGGAAGGGUAGGGCAGCUAGGGCUGCUGCCCUACUCCUAAACCUAAAUAUCCAUUAAAAUUUACAUUUUAAAACCUUAAAAUUAAAACAUGGAAGAUAAAGGUAAUUACGUAAAUUAUACAAGUUGAGCCCUAGGCUACGUCACUGGUCACUUCUAUUUCAAAUUCAGCUUAUACACGUGUUAGUGCGUGCAUUGCCUACUGUUUAGCAUUCCAUCAAACAACCAUUCAGUACUUAAACCAUGCUCUGACCAUCCACUCUGGCAUGGUGUCGAAACAAGAUUUCGGCAAUAAUAAAAGGGGUGGCUAUCAAGCUAGGAAAGUGGAUGGGUUUGGAGACAAGGAAUUUUAUACAGGUUCAGACCUUCUUAUUCAAGAAGUAAUACCCUACUCCUGUCCGGAGAUGAUUCCGCCGAGUGUGUUAUUGAUUGUAUGAUUGGGAGAAAAAGAAUCGUCCUGAGAGGAACCCGGACCCCUCCUUAUAUAGGGGAAGGGAUCCGUAUUACAAAAUACAGUCCAUAUCCUAACGGAACAUGGGAUUACAGAUAAAAUACAAUCAUAACCGACUAGGAUCCCGGGUAUUUUCUUGUCAUACAAGUUUAGAAUCUAACCCGAGUCCUCAUAAAGAUAUUCUAUCUAUAUUUGGUACCAUAUAUCCAGCUGGAAUGUAACCGCCAUGUAGAUAUGGGGUAACCAUAAUCUCCACAGUAGCCUCCGAGACCUUCACAGUUGACCAAAAUAGUCUUCUCGAAACAAAAAACAAUAAUCCGAGUGCUUCAAUUCAACUUGCUUCGGCUUGCCGAGUGCUAAAAGACUGUGAAGGGCGAAAAUAAAACAUGGUGCAUCGAGUAGAUGCACCUAAUUAGGUGUAGCCCCCGACUAUGUGAUUAGUUAAAAAACUAAACAUAUAGUCAAGGACCGGGUGAUUUUAUUUCGAAGCAUGCAUGGUACUCAAUAAAAUACCCAGCCGACUGCUUCUCACUUGAAUAUAUCAAGGAUAAAAAAUAUGAAAAGGGCCGAAUGAUAAACACUCAAAAGGUCCAAAAAUAGAUAUAUUUGGUAGGAAUCCGAGUAAGAAACUCUUAAAAUGAUCUACCAAAUAUGAUAAAGAUCAUGGUAAUUAAGAAGUUCAUUAGCUUAGGCUAUAACCCUUACCAUAAUCAAAAUAAGCAUAUAACAUGCUAGGAGAAUGACUACUAAUAAACCAGUCAUCUCAAAUUAACCCAACAUCUUUUGUAGCCUAAAAAAGCUUACAAAAAUGGUAUAACACCUUUCUGUCGGGCACCUUCUCAUGUGAAUCAUAAUAAUUCCAAAGAAUUAUUGAAUCGCGUUAAAAAGGAUUUUAACAGCAUCGGACCGCAUCAUUGUGAGCACAUAUUGCCAAAGCAAAAAGCGCCUAAGUUCCUAAGGAUCACAACGGGCCACGCUGAAAACAUAAUUGGGCUGAAGUACUGUACAGGCCCAGGCCCAUUAGUACUCCCGAUACCCUAAAGACACCGAAGUCCAAACGUCGUUUCGUCUUCCCCACCGAGACUCUCGCCAUUCCCCAUUCCGUGCUACAGUACAGAACCGCACCGACGAAGCUAGGGUUUAUCAAUCUGCUCCAACCCUCAAAAACUUCACGAAAUUUCUCCCCGCGUCCACCACUCCGAUUCCCAUUCCUCUCCAGCCAUAUCUCGGACCAAAUCAAACCAUCCAGUUCACAUUCAUGGCAGAAGAAAGAGAAAGCUUCGAGAGUCAGUGGGCGCCCUCCGAUGUGACAGAAGAUAACCUGAAGGAGAUGGUGGCGCACGGCGUUCUCCCAGCGAAGGAGAUUAUCGGGUGGCGACCGGCGUUCUGCGAAGCAUUCCCGACCCCCGACACACACGAAAUCGUGGUAUUCGCUCAUUUCUUCUAUGGCGGAUUUUCUCUUUCAACCUCUAGAUUCUUCCGGGGGAUUCUGAACUUCUACGGGAUUAGCUUGCAUCACUUGAAUCCAAACUCUAUAGUGCAUAUUGCCAAUUUUAUCCAUGCCUGCGAAGCUUUUCUGGGCAUUAGGCCUCAUUUCGCCUUGUUCCGCCGCAUCUUCUUCCUCAAGCCCCAGCCAAACAAAAGCAAACCAUGCGUUGUUGGGGGAGCUGGUUUCCAACUCAGAGGAACCUUGAGCCAAAAAUAUUUCUCCAUGCCCUUCAAAACCUCAAAGAAAGGCUGGCAUGCAAACUGGUUCUAUGUUCAAAAUCCUGAGCCCGCACUCCCCGAGUACUGCUGUCUUCCUCCGGUUUACCAGGACACAUGGAACUCAUUGCCUAUGGGAGAUGAAGCUGCUCAGGCAAUGGAAUUGAUGGAACGCAUGCUAAAACUGAAGGAACAAGGUUUGCAGGGAGAACAGAUCACUCGGCACUUCAUCAAAAGUCGAUUAGCUCCAAUCAAAGAGAGGUCCCGCACAGCUUUUGAGUUUGAUGGCAAGCAUGAUCCAAAUCGGGAAAAUCCAGAUUCUCUCGACUUUAAGGUCAUGAAAGAAAGAAUGUACAAGAUCUUCUCAAACGCUAUUGUUGUCAGCUAUUCACAUCUGCUGCCCGUUGUGCCAUUCAACGCAUUCAACCCUCCUCCACCGGAAUUUGCUUUGAUGAAAUCGGAUCCUCCAAUUGCUCAACGCCGAUCACCUCGCCAGCAAACUGGUCAGGCGAGUGGAGGACCAAAAAUUCGAUCUAACGCUCGACCAAGUGCUUCCGAUCCAGUCGGCCAGUCAGAUGCUCGCAAGAGGAAGCUGGUUCUAAGCGACGAGGAAGGCGAUGAUACCGGAAGGCUCGGAGAAAAAGGAGCGACCGGAAAAUCCCCAAAGCCAACUAAUCCGAAGAAGAAAACCUCCAGUCGUCCUUUGCCAAAAAUCAGAAAGUCUUCCAGGAAGCCGUCUGACAUAGAUCCUUCCGAAAAGGACCCCGAGCUGGCUGACAUAGAGGCAAACCCUUCAAAAGAAACCGGGCCAACUGCAGAAGAUCGUCCGAGUGACAAACAACCGGCAACCGACAAUGUAGAACCUAGCAACGAGCCCCCGACUGGGAACCAGUCGGCCGAAGCUGAAGUCGGUGCUAACCAGGAGCCCCCGACUGGAAACCAGUCGGAUGCAGGGCCAAGCCAAAAGAUUCCCGAGAUUGAAGCUCAAACGAACAGUCCUCUCGGGAAGGAUGCUGACAAUUAAUCAGAAACCAGAUCUCCUGUGAAGGCACCAAAGUCCACUCGUCCCCGACCGGGAAUCAUCACAGGGCCAAUAAUUGGUGAUGAAGAAGAGAUCCUCCGGAUACAAGCAGCUGAGGAUUCACGCCUUCCGAUUCUGGUCAAGUGGUGGGAUGACAACAUGCAGCCUCAAGGGAUCGUGAUAAAUAAGCAAAAAGAGGAUGAAGAGUUAUGCCUACUGAAAAAGGCACUUGGUCAGGCAACCCGUAUUGUAAAUAGGAUUCAUCUUAGGAACGAAGCCAAAACGGUAACCUUAGAGAGGUUAGUCCCUCAUCUCGGGACCCUCGAAGCCACCAGGAAUCAACUGCACGAAGCGAAAGAACUUGCCAGGAAGAAUGAACAUGAUCUGAGGGAUCGGAUUGCUAAUCUCCAGGAAUCAAAUUUUGAACUGAGUGGCUCAUCAAAAGUGCAAGCUGCCAAGAUAUCUCCGUUGGAAAAGCAGAUUCAAAUUCUGGAAAAUGACAAGGCAGAACUGGCAAAACAAAGAGACCUGGCUUUAAAGGAAGUUGAAGACCGCAAGAUCAAAUCUCAAGCUCAAUUCGAUGUCCUGGUUGGCAAGAUCAAAAAACUUGAAGGAGCCCGGGAUGAGGUUGCUAACGCUGCUGCCCCAAUUGUUCAAGCGAUGUUUUUUAAUAACAACGGCCUGAGUGCACUUGAUGCUUCUGAAAUUUUCGACAAGCUGAGAGUUGCUCCGGAUACAUAUUUCAAGAACAUCAAAGAAGCUGGAAGUAUGGGAGCAAGUCUGGCGUUGGUGAUGACCAAAUCCCUUUAUCCAAGAGUUGAUAUUGAUGCCAUUGAUGGCUUUGCAGAUAGGACGAGCGAAGAAGCUGCUCUUGACCUCAUCAGUGAUGCGCAGAAAGCGGCUGACAAAAUUGCUGCUGAUGUAGUUGAGAGAUUCUAAGAUGUCGACCUUCGGCCGACUGGGUCUGAUAAGUCUGAUGAUGAAAAAACUGAUACUGAUUAAUGUACCAAUGACUUUGACGAUUAAUGAUGAUGGAGGCACAAUUUGUACAAUACUGAUGAAUUUAUGCUGUGCUUAAUAUCUUAACUUA